rnacentral:rRNA from 1 species
GACGAACGCUGGCGGCGUGCUUAACACAUGCAAGUCGAACGGAAAGGCCCUGCUUUUGUGGGGUGCUCGAGUGGCGAACGUGUGUGUAACACGUGAGUAACCUGCCCUUGACUUUGGGAUAACUUCAGGAAACUUGGGCUAAUACCGGAUAGGAGCUCCUGCUGCAUGGUGGGGUUUGGAAAGUUUCGGCGGUUGGGGAUGGACUCGCGGCUUAUCAGAUUGUUGGUGGGGUAGUGGCUUACCAAGGGUUUGACGGGUAGGAGGCAUGAGAGGGUGACCGGAAAAAAGGGGAAUGAGAGAGGGCCAAGAAGAGAACGGGAGGGAGCAGUGGGGAAUAUUGCAAAAUGGGAGGAAGCAGGAGGAAGAAAAGCAGCGAGCGGGAAGAAGGCAGACGGGGUGUAAACAGAUUUAGAAUGUGAAGAAGAGUGAGUGACGGUAAUGGGUAAAGAAGCAACGGCUAACUACGUG